rnacentral:rRNA from 1 species
AUUGAACGCUGGCGGCAUGCCUUACACAUGCAAGUCGAACGGCAGCACGGGAGCAAUCCUGGUGGCGAGUGGCGAACGGGUGAGUAAAGUAUCGGAACGUACCUUUCAGUGGGGGAUAACGUAGCGAAAGUUACGCUUAAUACCGCAUAUUCUGUGAGCAGGAAAGCAGGGGAUCGCAAGACCUUGCGCUGAUGGAGCGGCCGAUAUCAGAUUAGCUAGUUGGUGAGGUAAAGGCUCACCAAGGCGACGAUCUGUAGCGGGUCUGAGAGGAUGAUCCGCCACACUGGGACUGAGACACGGCCCAGACUCCUACGGGAGGCAGCAGUGGGGAAUUUUGGACAAUGGGGGCAACCCUGAUCCAGCCAUGCCGCGUGUGUGAAGAAGGCCCUCGGGUUGUAAAGCACUUUAAGCGGGGAGGAAGGCCUGAUGGUUAAUACCCAUUGGGAUUGACGUUACCCGCAGAAUAAGCACCGGCAAAC